GCUGAGCGUUGUGGUGCACGCCUGUAAUCCCAGCGGCUCAGGAGGCUGAGGCAAGGGGAUCACGAGUUUAAAGUCAGCCUCAGGAAAAAGCAAGGUGCUAAACAACUCAGUGAGACCCUGUCUCUA
rnacentral:sRNA from 1 species